CCUACGGGUGGCAGCAGUAGGGAAUAUUGCUCAAUGGGGGAAACCCUGAAGCAGCAACGCCGCGUGCAGGAUGACGGCUCUCGGAUUGUUAAACCCUUUUGUUACAGAAGUUAAUGACGGUAUCUAACGAAUAAGCACCGUCUAACUCCGUGCCAGCAGCCGUGGUAAUACGGAGGGUGCAAGCGUUACUCGGAAUCACUGGGCGUAAAGGGCGCGUAGGCGGGAUAGCAAGUCAGAUGUGAAAUCCUAUGGCUUAACCCUAGAACUGCAUUGGAAACUGUUAUGCUAGAGUAUGGGAGAGGUAGGUGGAAUUCGUGGUGUAGGGGUAAAAUCCUUAGAGAUCAAGAAGAAUACUGAUUGCGAAGGCGGCCUGCUAGAACAUAACUGACGCUGAUGCGCGAAAGCGUGGGGAGCGAACAGGAUUAGAUACCCCAGUAGUC
rnacentral:rRNA from 1 species